rnacentral:rRNA from 1 species
AUGUCGUCGCCGCCGCCGCCGCCGCCGCCGCCUCCCGCCGUUCCUCCCACCAGCGCCGCCGCGGCCUAUGCGUCUCUCGCGGACAUUGCGAGCACCGUCGAGGGCCUCGCCUGCUUCAACGACGUGCUCGUCGAGUUCCUCGACGAGUGGCGCGAGUUCCACCUCGACGCCAACUCCAUCGCCGCCGCCCUGCCCCCGCUCGCCGACGACGAUGACCCCAAGCCCAGCCCCGUGGGACAGCUCGGGGCCCUCCUCGGCCAGUGGAACCCCGUCCUCCCCGCCGCCGCCGCAUCCCCCCUCGCCGACCGCGUAGCGGACGAAUCCAACCCUAGAUUACCCGACCCCGUGGCCGACCGCCGCGAGCGCAGUCCCGUGCCUGAGACCGGAGAAGAUCCCCUCCCCCAGCGGCAUGAAUCGAGCCCUAAACCCGACCCCGUGCUCGAGCGCCGCGAGCACAGUCCCCUGCCUGCGCCCCAGCCGCGCACCUCCGCCUCCGCCCCCGCCGCCGCCGCCGCCGCCGGGUUCCCGGUCGCCGACCCCGUCCCGGAGCCCGAGCCGAAACCCGUCCUCCCGGCUGAGGUCGGGCCCGUUCGCGCGCCCAAGCCCGCACCCAAGCCCGCCCCCGGCCGCGAGCGCAGGGCCGGCGAGCAGGAGGCGGAGGCGCUGGGGGGCAUCUGCGAGCAGAUGGGGUCGCGGUCGCUGCGCGGCUUCGUCGCCGCGCACCUGCGGGACCGCGCCUGGCUGCGCCGCGUGGGCCCGGCCGCGCUGCGCCGCGCCCCGGACCCCGCCGUGCUCGUCAUCCGCGCCGUCAGCCGCAGCUACAUCUGCGCCGAGAACGAGAACGCGGAGACCGCCUGUGUGCUCCUCCUGGAGCUCUACGUGCGCGCGGGCUGCCCCCGCCGGCCGGAGGGGGAGGGGGACGCCGAGGUGCGGGCCGAGGCGCGCGUGUCCGCGCUCUCAUGGCGCAGCCGGAUCGUGCGGGAGAAGGGCCGGGUCGCCGACGCCACCGCCAGGGACGCCCGCGGCCUCGUCCUCCUCAUGGCCGCCUUCGGCGCGCCCGCCGAGUUCCCUCUGCAGGAGCUCUACCAGCUGCUGCUAGCCGGUGGCUGCUUCACCUGCGUCGACGUGCUCAGAUGCUCCCAGCCCUUCAUGAAGAAGCUGCGUGAUGUUGUUGCUGAUAUGCUGAACAGGGGAAGUUAUCGCGAAGCGAUUGGUGUGAUCCUUGCAUUUGACCUGCAGGAGGCGUUCCCGCUCGAUGGCGUACUGUCUUACAUCGUUGACAAGGUUGUGCGCAAUAGGAAGGAGCAAGAGAGCGAGGUGGAGUGUGAUUUGGCGGGAUCGAAAAAACGUGAUGAAGAGGAGUUGAUUCUUUGGAGAUCAAUAUCAAGAUAUGUGCAGGAGCGCAAGCCAUCUUUUUCAGAAAUGUCUUGUCCCAGUUUUGCUGAGAGGAUUAAACUGCUAGAAGAACGUGUCGGAAAGCCAAACCAAGCCUUUCUGAGUGAAGAGAGUCGCGAACCAAGCUUUUCUGAGCGAAGCGAGCCAAACCAAGCCUUUCUAAUGAUCUAA